rnacentral:lncRNA from 1 species
UGUGCCGCGGCCGUUCGUUACGUAGGAGCGCGGGUGCUGUGGUGGUUUGCUGCACCUAUUAACCCAUCCUGUUUUGCCUGGCAUUCUGCAGAAGCAUUGCUGUAUCUUACCAGACAGGAAUACAGAUGAAGACCCCCAGGCCCAGGGAAUUCGAUCACUGGCUGAGAACUCACAGCUAAGGAGGGGGAGCCUGGGAUUCCUUCCUGGUGCUCACACCCGAGACCCUUUUGUCACUGUGUUCAAAGGCACUGCUGCACAGACGUGAUUCUUCUUUCAACGAACAUCUCCAGGACUUCCUCCGGGGUCUGUGACCUCAUCUAUAAUUAAAGGGAAAGAGAUCUUCCUGAGAUUAGCCCAUUUAACUUGUUUAACUAGAUGCAUGCUGCAAAAACUGUUUUCAAGAAAUGAACAAUUGACUAUUUAAAAAGAGCCAAGCCUUAAAAGAAGACCAGGUUUUAAUAGGGAAAACAUUCAGUAAAAUAUUAUUCUGCAGUAACUUGUGGAAUGACUGCUGUACACACAGCUCUGGGCUGGGUACCUGGAAGCUCACGAGCUUGUUUGGCCUCCCCUCCUGGACACAGGAGGUGUCAAGGCUGUGGUCAGCAGAAUCUACCCAGCUGGACACUGAGUGGACGCCCUGUGGGGUGGCUGUGAAAUGGGUCCACUUUGUAGUGGCAGCAUCCCUGAUAGUACUUCUGAAAGGGACAAGAUAGAAAAGCAAACCAAACUGAAACUGAGAAGUCGUGGAUGAUACCAGGGGCGCACAGUGGCUGACAGGAAGAGACUGCCUGGGGGGUCUCGGAGCCAGUGGCUGGAGUGGAGUUAGUUUGACCGAGUCCUGGACUAGGGAGGGGACCCCCAAAGCAUGCCCAGCAUGGCGCUAGUGGGGCCCAGGCACCCCAUGUCCCAACGACUAGAACCAAUAAUCAGGUUAACACUCAUUAAAUAAGAAGUGUCUGUGCCUCCUGGGAUAAAAAUCCUUUAUAACGAUCUGGGACGCGAGCUCAAGUCCCUGUUCCCUUGUCCUCCACAGCAGUGUGCAGCGUGGAACUCGGCGGUUCGGGGUCCCUGAGUCCCUGAGCCACUGUCUACCCCCUGCUCCAUCCCAAAUGCAGAGACCCCUGAGCACUCAUGUGGACAUGCCCCACCAUGCCCUGGCUGCUCCUUCAGGAUGGCGCAGGGCCACCGCUAUGGGAGGACUCUAAAGGGUGGGUCUCAAGCCCUCCUCUGCUUACCCUAAAUCAGGAGAGCAAACCGAAUGCACUGCCCUCUUCCUUCACUCCUGCAUCCCAUCCCCCGCUAUGGCCUCACUAUCAGGUGGGCAUCUGUGCUCCUAGUUUUCAUGGGUGGCCCGACGGGGGCUGCAGAAAGUUCAUGCAUCGCAUCACCCAUCAGUGUAAGGUGCAGUGAUCCUGCCACAUGUGUCUUUGUCACAGGUCACUAGAUUAAAGGCUAAUAUAUCCAUGGGUGGAUGGAAUAUUUAUUUGGCCAAAUUGUUGUCUAACAAUCCAUUGGUUUUGGUUAUCUAUUGCUGAAUAAUAAGCCAUCUCAACAUUUAGUAAGCAGUGAGCAUUGGUUGAAGCCACUGUUCCUGAUGGCCAAGGUUGCCCAGGCUCAGCUGGGCGGCUCUUCUGCUCUGUGAUGUGAGCUGGGGCUGAGCAUCUGGAGAUUUGACUGGGCAGUCAGGCACUCACUCACACAGGGCAGGUGGGGCUGGCUGUCAGCUUGUAGCUCAUCUAGGGCUGUUGUCUGAGCGCCUGGAUUCUCUCUCAUGAGACCUGUCCAGCACCUUGGUCCCCCCAUAC